UUAUGAGAUUCAACAUUUCUUUUUUUUUUUAAGUGAAGCUAGUGAACUUUCUGGAAUCCUGAAAAUGAUAAUUUCCUUAAAAUGUAUUCAUCCUCAGGUCAUCCAAGAUGUAAAAGAGUUUGUUUCUUCUUGGGAACAGAUCUGGAGAAUUAUAGCAUUACAUCACUUGGUCACCAGUGGAUCCUCUGCAGUGAAUGGGUGCCGUCAGAAUGUCCAAGAAAGUCCAAACAGCUGAUUAAAACAUCACAAUAAUCCACAAGUAUUUCACUCCACUCCAGUCCAUCAAUUAACAACUUGUGAUGUGAAAAACUGUGUUUGAUGUGAGAGGACAACAGGGGAUGCACUUUUUCACUUGAGGAUUUUUUAUUAUGGUUUAUGGACUGGUAUCUUGGCCAAAAGCGACAGAUUUAUUUCUUAUAAACACAGCUUUUCACUUCACAAGAUAUUAACUGAUGGACUGUGUCACUUUAUCUUCGAGAGACGCGGUACCAUCACCAUCAAGGGGAAUGUGGAGAUUGAGACGUACUGGCUGAAAGGAAAGAGAGAUAAAGAUGGAAACGCUCAGGCUGCAUGCCCGCAGUUUGAAGCCCAGACCAUCAGUAAAGCCGCCAUCUCUGCCCCCGAAGCACCCAUCGAUGAGGAUGUGCUGGUGUUCCCCUCAGUGGCAGGUGAGGAUGAGGAUGAUGUGAAAUCUAUCCGCUCUCACCGCAUGAAGAUGGAAACCUCUAGAAACUCUCUUGAGGAGUCGAUGGAGGAGUGUCGGGUUGAAGAAGCGUCCGUCAGUAAGUCUCAUUAUAAGGACGCUCUUCAGGACAGCAGUCUGCAGGACCCACACAUUGACCUCGACUCAGCUGAGUUUGACGGUCGAGAUUCAAUAAUGGAGUCUCCUGCUGGCUCGUGUGAUUCCCACGGCUCUGAGAAGAGCACCAUGUGCUCUGUGUGCUAAACACAGUGAUCAUGACAUGGCUUUGAAAUUGAUCUUUUCUAAAGCAUUCAACUGUUUCAGCCUUUUUAGUUUUAAUAGCCCAUUCUCAGCAUCAAAUGGCUAUUGAUCUGCAUGUGUUUCCCAAAGAAUUCUGUAAAUUGGAUUCACUGGAUUGUCUUAUAAAUAGAUUAGAGGUAUUAUUGAAAUUAAAUGUGCUUUUUGUGUUGGCUUCUCAUCUGUAUUCAGUCUCAUUCAGGUUAAAGCUUUAUAAACCUUUUUUCCCUUUUGCUGGUUUCAUGCUUUAUAUUGACAGAUACCUUUAUUAUAUUUAUUUUUAAUGAAUCUCCUGAUAAAAAUUAAAGGGUCAUAUUUCAUUCUAUUUCAUCAAUCAAAAGGAAAAUAAUAUUAUUAUGUUAUUAAAUUAUUAUUAUUAUACAUUUAUUUUUGACAUUAUUUGCAUGGUAAUUCAGCACAUUCCACCAGAUUCUCAUUUAGUAAUUAAAACCAUUGAAACAAUAAAAAAAGGAAAAAUAAAUAAAAUAAGCAUAAAUUAAGCAGUGCAACAAAUACUACAAUGAUGUAUAAAUAUUUAGCAAUUUAAAUAAUAUAUACUUUUCUUUAAGAAUGCUAAUUGGGGAAGUUCUUACUUGACAUUAAAAUAAUUUGAUAUACAACCUUUUAAAAGUUGUCUAUAAGAUUUUAUGUUUUUGAAAGAAGUCUCUUCUGCUCACCAAAGCUGCAUUCAUUUAACCAAAAAUACAGUAAGAUCAGUAAUAUUGUAAAAUGUUUUUGCUAAAACAAUGUUGCAUUUUUGCUGUCAGUUUUGAUCAAUUUAAUAUUCCCUUGCUAAAUAAAAGUAUUAAAAAAAAUCAAAAUAAAUAAAUCAAACUUGAAUGAUAGUGUAUAUUUUUAGCUUUUUAACUGGGGUAAAAUGUGACCUGAACAUGUUUUAAUUUUAGUAAGAUUCAUCCAGUAUUUAGUUGGUGCUCCUGAAGACUCCUCAUUGAAGUCAUUCAGGAUGAACUGUUUGGGGUCUGUGCUUCAUCUGUCAACAUCGUGUGUGACGUGUGGUCCAUUACCGCAAAAAAAUAAUUUGAACUUUUCUCUCAACUCUUAAAAACAAACAAAAAUCACGAUUAGUGUAUAACGCACUCAUAAUGGUCUUGUUUUCAGCACUUAGAGUAAUUCUUCUGGUGCUCUACAUGCCUGACUGUUGUCAUGUGUGUAUUAUGUGAGAGUUACUGUGUUUAUCAGCUUUAAAGAGUAAAAAAAAUGGAUAUAGGCUAUUUUACACAAUAGUUAGUGAUGCUGCUAUCCUGUUUACACACUGUUUAUGUCUUGUAGCUACAUUUUAGAAAGAUUUAUCCCAGUGCAACGUUUUACAAACUGAGAGAAGGCUCAGAAUUAUUUCAAGUGGUAAUUUACUAUCACAGAUGACACUUUGCAGCUCUUCUCAAGAUUUGUCUGAUCUUUCUCUCUGGUUUGCCCUUUAAGUUUUUGAUGUGUUUCUCUGUCUGUGUGUUGUUUGCUUGCUGUCUGUUUCCUCAAAGUGAUGUGAAAAUAAAGCAGGAGUGACAGCGUGACUCAUUUAAUCAGCGUUGUUCAAUAUAUUUCAGUAGAUCACAAGCAGGCUCAAUAAUUUCACACAUUACUUCUGCUGCAUACGCAGAAAUACGCAGUCAUUUCAGUUUCUGUUAUGAGACGAAGAAGGUUAGAACUGGCAAAGAAAAUGAUAAAGCUAUAUUCUGCUUUUUAACCAGUCAGGUUUUUGUUAAAAGAAAAAAAAAAAAAAAAGGCAUGUUUAUUAUUAAUUUAAAUAAGUGUUUCUAUGUUAAUAUAUUUAAAUAUCAUUUAUUCCGCUGAUUUAAAGCUGAAUUUUUAGGUAUCAUUACUCCAGUCUUCAGUGUCACAUGAUGCUUCAGAAAUCAUUCUAAUAUGAUGACAUUUCUGAUUUUUGUCAGUGUUAAAAAUAGUUGUGCUGAUUAAUAUUUUUGCAGAAACUGUAAUACAUUUUAUUACAGGAUUUACUGAUGAAUAUAAAAGUUGAAAAACAAAAACAGCAUUUAGCAAAACAGAACAGCAAAAUAGAAAUCUUUCAUAACAUAAAUGUUUUGAAUGUGUGCUUUCUGAAUAAAAGUAUUAAUAAAAAACAGCAUAGUGUUUUGUAUAUUUAUUUAUUUAUUUUUAAAUAUGAUGACUAAAUUAAAUACUAAUUCAUUUACUUUGCAGUUUAUAUCCCUCAAAAUUAAAUAAAUAAGGAUAGAAAAAUAAACAAAUAAGGAAAGAAAAACAAACAAACAUUAACUAGUGAUUUAGUUUCUUUGAGAGGUCUUUCUCAGAUGGUGUUUCCCAGCGAGGGGCUGGAGGAGCUGCGUCUGAAGGUGGCGUCCUCUCUGUCCAGACUGCAGCCGGAGGUUUGCCGCCCGUCUUUGGGAGACGUCUGCAGUGUGCAGUGGAAGCAGAAGGCGUAGAAGAACGCCACCAACAGCAGAAAGCAGACGAUGCAGAAGAUGAUGACUAUGAGGAUGGUGUGAACGUGUACGUGAAGAGAGUCUUCAGAUGGGAACCCAGGGCUGAUUGUCGGGGUCACUGCAGACGUCACCUUCCCGCCGCCGACAUACCCCUCAGAGCUGAGGUGUGCCACACCACUCAUGACGGCGAGGGGAAUUAUGGGUAACCUGGUGAAGAGGUGAAGAGAGUUUUUAAAAUGUCUCUUAUGCUCACCAAAGCUGCAUUCAUUCAAUCAAAAAUACAGUAAAAACAGAAAUAUUUUUAAAUAUUAUUAUAAAUAACUCUUUUCUAUGUGAAUAAUAUUUUAAAAUGUAAUUAAUUCCUGUGAUCAAAGCUGAAUUUCCAGCAUCAUUACUGCAGUCUUUAGUGUUGCAUG
rnacentral:lncRNA from 1 species